rnacentral:rRNA from 1 species
UACGGAGGGGGCUAGCGUUGUUCGGAAUCACUGGGCGUAAAGCGCGCGUAGGCGGACCUGCAAGUCGGGGGUGAAAGCCCGAGGCUCAACCUCGGAACUGCCUUCGAUACUGCGGGUCUCGAGUCCGGGAGAGGUGAGUGGAAUUCCUAGUGUAGAGGUGAAAUUCGUAGAUAUUAGGAAGAACACCAGUGGCGAAGGCGGCUCACUGGCCCGGUACUGACGCUGAGGCGCGAAAGCGUGGGGAGCAAACAGG